CUACGGGGGGCUCCAGUGAGGAAUAUUGCACAAUGGGGGGAACCCUGAUGCAGCAACGCCGCGUGGAGGAUGACGCAUUUCGGUGUGUAAACUCCUUUUAUAUGUCAAGAAAAUGACGGUAGCAUAUGAAUAAGCGCCGGCUAACUCCGUGCCAGCAGCCGCGGUAAUACGGAGGGCGCAAGCGUUACUCGGAAUCACUGGGCGUAAAGGACGCGUAGGCGGGUUGAAAAGUCAGGUGUGAAAGCCUACAGCUUAACUGUAGAACUGCACUUGAAACUCUCAACCUAGAGUAUGGGAGGGGCAGAUGGAAUUAGUGGUGUAGGGGUAAAAUCCGUAGAUAUCACUAGGAAUACCUAAAGCGAAGGCGAUCUACUGGAACAUUACUGACGCUAAGGCGUGAAAGCGUGGGGAGCAAACAGGAUUAGAUACCCCCGUAGUC
rnacentral:rRNA from 1 species